GGCCUUGCUGCCACGAUCCA
rnacentral:snRNA from 1 species